rnacentral:rRNA from 1 species
AAUAGAUACCCCGGUAGUCCACGCCGUAAACGAUGUCGACUUGGAGGUUGUUCCCUUGAGGAGUGGCUUCCGGAGCUAACGCGUUAAGUCGACCGCCUGGGGAGUACGGCCGCAAGGUUAAAACUCAAAUGAAUUGACGGGGGCCGCACAAGCGGUGGAGCAUGUGGUUUAAUUCGAUGCAACGCGAAGAACCUUACCUACUCUUGACAUCCACGGAACUUUUCAGAGAUGAAUUGGUGCCUUCGGGAACCGUGAGACAGGUGCUGCAUGGCUGUCGUCAGCUCGUGUUGUGAAAUGUUGGGUUAAGUCCCGCAACGAGCGCAACCCUUAUCCUUUGUUGCCAGCGGUCCGGCCGGGAACUCAAAGGAGACUGCCAGUGAUAAACUGGAGGAAGGUGGGGAUGACGUCAAGUCAUCAUGGCCCUUACGAGUAGGGCUACACACGUGCUACAAUGGCGCAUACAAAGAGAAGCGACCUCGCGAGAGCAAGCGGACCUCAUAAAGUGCGUCGUAGUCCGGAUUGGAGUCUGCAACUCGACU